CGCGCAGGCGGUUCGGUAAGUCGGUCUUAAAAGUGCGGGGCUUACCCCGUGAUGGGAUUGAAACUGCCGGACUGGAGUGUCGGAGAGGAAAGCAGAAUUCCUAGUGUAGCGGUGAAAUGCGUAGAUAUUAGGAGGAAUACCAGUGGCGAAAGCGGCCUUCUGGACGACAACUGACGCUGAGGCGCGAAAGCCAGGGGAGCAAAACGG
rnacentral:rRNA from 1 species